rnacentral:lncRNA from 1 species
GUUUCCCUUGUGAUAGACAGAAGUAAUAUCUCCGGCAGCAGGAGUGCUCAACCAUGUAAGUCUCUAUAAAGUUAACGGUUUGGGAGUAAACAGCUUUUUAUGCAAGAGGAGAUGUAAGGAAAUACUGCUCUGCUCGCGCUCUGCCAUUGAGUUAAGGUUCCAGGCGCAGCAGAAGGCUGCUCCAAAGCUUAUGCUUGAAAACAGACCUGGAAAAGUAUGUGUGAGCUGGGAUUGUCUGGGGGAUGGAGGAGGAGGCCCACUCAUUCAGAAUCAGAGCUUUCAUAGGAAAAGGUCCGUUCCGGUAAAAUUCUCCACUCGUAUUUGACAAAGGAGAGGAAAGGAGCAGCUGCCAUUUCUCCCUGGAAAAGCUGCUCUGCAGAGUCCCCCAUUUUGGAAAGCUACAGCUGGAAGUGGUUCUGAUUAGCCCCAAGUGGGUAUUUGUAACUAUCGGUGUCGUUCUUCCCAUGGCACGUGGCUGUCUCCUGUGGGUCUGGUGGGAGGUGGGGCCGUCACCUGGGAGAUGAGUGACAACAAAUUGCGGAGAGCCCUUCUCUGCACGUGGGCAUUGAGUUCAUGUCCGAGCAGGGACGUAGAGCAGGCAUGAAAGCCCCGUGGAGACUUGAGCACGGACAGUGCUAAGAAUCGAGGCAGGGGACAGGGUGCCAGUGCUGGUGGCAAACAUGCACCAAACCAGCACUGCACUGACGUCUGUGUGAUGCUGAAGAGCCAGAAUGUUGCACUUCAGUGAUUCUCCAGACCAAGCCUAUAUUGGGGAAUAAAUUCAGCACUGUUCUUCUGGUGGAAGGAGGAACGAGCAACGGAGAGAAGAACUCUCCCGCUGACAGCAGGCGGCUGGCACGAAGAGCACGGAAAAUCCAGCUCCCGUAAAAAGAAUAGAGGGCGAUGCGGCCACUGGAACGGCGCUCUGAAGUACUGCUGCACAGUGGAGAUAAAACAACGGAAAACAAACGAACAAAACUCAGGAAGCAACAAAACCGGAUCAAAGAGGCUUGUCUUCUGCCUGAUUUGAAUGCUGUAAUGGAGCAAGUCUCACGCUUUGUGCCGCGAGGAGGAAAACACCAAAAAUGUCACGAGAAGAAUUUGUGUGAAUCCUGGCAAACCCAGAUGGGCUCUUUGGGUGUGACCAAGUGUCAGAGCUCCCUGCUGCCAGAGCUGCUGACGGUCACUGUGACCAACUGGCACAGCAUCAGGCAUCGCCGGUAGAAAUGUUUAUUUGUUACACAGAACAUAAAAGUCUUUUUUUUGAAG